ACAACAAAACAAAAAACCCUAAUCUAAUCGUUGUCCUCACUCUCUGUCUCAUCUCAUCUCACCACUGUCUCUCUCACUCUCUCAUUUCGUUGUUCAUUCAUCUUCAUCUUCUGCGCCGAUCGGUGAUCACUCUCAUCUCAUCACUGUCUCUCUCACUCUCUCGUUGUUCAUCUCAUCGCACCGAUCAUCUCACUCUCUCAUCGCACCGAUCUACUCACAGGGAUUAAUCUGAAAAUUAAGAUAAAAUUCAAGAGCGUGGGAAAGGUAAUCAUGGGAAUGAAUUAAUGGUGGGUCACAACUGGUAAUGUAUGUGUCACGUGAGAAGGGCACUUUGGUGCCACUAUUAGCAUCAUACAGAUUGGAUGCAAUGCAGGAAUUGCCUAAACUCCCCUCUUGCCGACAGUGUGUGCAACAUGAAGUGAAGGAAAAAAAAAUAUUACAAGUAAUAUUGCAAAUACGGAAGCACUCUCCCAGCUCCGCUUCAGUGCACACAGAACCUUCCAAGAUACAGGAAGUCGAGUAAAAAUUCCUUUUUUAUUAGGUUAGGUUUUAGAUUUUAUUUUAUUAUAAAUAAAUGUAAAGCCCAUUAUUGCAGUCUCUUUCAUCCUAAAUAUAUAGAUUUUCUUCCGUCUUC